UACGUAGGGCGCAAGCGUUGUCCGGAAUUAUUGGGCGUAAAGAGCUCGUAGGCGGCCAUUUGCGUCUGCUGUGAAAUCCCGGGGCUCAACCCCGGGCGUGCAGUGGAUACGGGCUGGCUAGAGGCAGGCAGGGGAGAACGGAAUUCCCGGUGUAGCGGUGAAAUGCGCAGAUAUCGGGAAGAACACCCGUGGCGAAGGCGGCUCUCUGGGACGGUACUGACGCUGAGACGCGAAAGCGUGGGGAGCGAACAGG
rnacentral:rRNA from 1 species